GACAGGAUAGCUCAGUCAGUAGGGUAUUGGACUCUUAAUCUCAAGGUCAUGGAUUUGAGCCCCACAUUUGGCA